GCUGGAAUUGCUGUAAUGGCAGGUCAGCAUACUGCCGUGAAUACGUUCCCGGGCCCUUGUACACACCGCCCGUCACACCAUGAGAGUUGGGAAUACCCGAAGCCUGUGAGCUAACUUUAAGAGGCAGCAGUCGAAGGUAGAAUCAAUGAUUGGGGUGAAGUCGUAACAAGGUACC
rnacentral:rRNA from 1 species